rnacentral:rRNA from 1 species
AUUGAACGCUGGCGGAAUGCUUUACACAUGCAAGUCGAACGGUAGAGGGGGCAACCCCUCGAGAGUGGCGAACGGGUGAGUAAUAUAUCGGAACGUGCCCAGUCGUGGGGGAUAACGUAGCGAAAGUUACGCUAAUACCGCAUACGAUCUAAGGAUGAAAGCGGGGGAUCGCAAGACCUCGCGCGAUUGGAGCGGCCGAUAUCCAAUUAGGUAGUUGGUGGGGUAAGGGCUCACCAAGCCAACGAUCUGUAGCUGGUCUGAGAGGACGACCAGCCACACUGGAACUGAGACACGGUCCAGACUCCUACGGGAGGCAGCAGUGGGGAAUUUUGGACAAUGGACGCAAGUCUGAUCCAGCCAUUCCGCGUGCAGGAUGAAGGCCCUCGGGUUGUAAACUGCUUUUGUACGGAACGAAAAGGUCUCUCUUAAUACGGGGGACUCAUGACGGUACCGUAAGAAUAAGCACCGGCUAACUACGUGCCAGCAGCCGCCGUAA